AGAGUUUGAUCCUGGCUCAGAUUGAACGCUGGCGGCAUGCCUUACACAUGCAAGUCGAACGGCAGCGCGGGGCAACCUGGCGGCGAGUGGCGAACGGGUGAGUAAUAUAUCGGAACGUACCCUGGAGUGGGGGAUAACGUAGCGAAAGUUACGCUAAUACCGCAUACGAUCUAAGGAUGAAAGUGGGGGAUCGCAAGACCUCAUGCUCCUGGAGCGGCCGAUAUCUGAUUAGCUAGUUGGCGGGGUAAAAGCCCACCAAGGCAACGAUCAGUAGCUGGUCUGAGAGGACGACCAGCCACACUGGAACUGAGACACGGUCCAGACUCCUACGGGAGGCAGCAGUGGGGAAUUUUGGACAAUGGGCGCAAGCCUGAUCCAGCAAUGCCGCGUGAGUGAAGAAGGCCUUCGGGUUGUAAAGCUCUUUUGUCAGGGAAGAAACGGUGGGAGCUAAUAUCUCCUGCUAAUGACGGUACCUGAAGAAUAAGCACCGGCUAACUACGUGUCAGCAGCCGCGGUAAUACGUAGGGUGCAAGCGUUAAUCGGAAUUACUGGGCGUAAAGCGUGCGCAGGCGGUUUUGUAAGUCUGUCGUGAAAUCCCCGGGCUCAACCUGGGAAUUGCGAUGGAGACUGCAAGGCUAGAAUCUGGCAGAGGGGGGUAGAAUUCCACGUGUAGCAGUGAAAUGCGUAGAUAUGUGGAGGAACACCGAUGGCGAAGGCAGCCCCCUGGGUCAAGAUUGACGCUCAUGCACGAAAGCGUGGGGAGCAAACAGGAUUAGAUACCCUGGUAGUCCACGCCCUAA
rnacentral:rRNA from 1 species